AUUCUUUAUUGGUUUUAUAGUCAUGGUAAACUGCUCACUUGGAUAGUAGAUACAAGAAAAUAAAAACAAAGUGAGGAGAAGAAUCAUGCUUUGUUACAUAGACAUACUCAUAGAUAUGAAUACAGAUAGAUACACUUAUUGAUGUUUUGGAAAUAUUGCUGAAGAUGUAUAUCUUGUAUUACUGACACUGGCUUUUAACAUCAAAAUGAUAAAGCUCAACUUACCAUUCACAUAGAGAGAAGAAGAUUGGCCUUCCAGAUUUUAGCAAAGCUUUACUCAUUAUUGGAUACCUUAAACACCAAGAUUGUAAAUAGUAUUAAAGUACUCGUUAUUGAUGAAAUAUGAGAAGUCAAAAUUCUGGUAGUAAGCAUGACAGCUAGAUUGAUACUUUCUGUUCUCGCCAAAAGAGAAAGGAUGCUAACCUUUCCUUCGGACUGGUACCAGGGUUGUUGCAAUUAUCGUACUUUAAGUAGUCAAUUCCCUAAAUGCAGAACUAGGUAUGAGUGACUUGGACGAAAACUACUAAUAAUCUCUUGACUUUCUUUGCCCUAAGUAGAGGUAGAGAGUACCCAGGAUUCAAAAGUCUUUGCAUCUUGCUCUUCAUGGCCCAGGGAUCCAGGCAUUGUCUUGCUGCAUGUUUGAGUUCUGCAAAGAAGAAACAAACACGUGUAGUGUUAAUAAAUUGUCAAACGGCAUUCCACAUGUGUGGAUCUUCCUCACUAAAAGGCGAUUUUGUGUUGCAUAUAUGUCUUACCCAGCAUCUGAAUAUAUCCCUAGCUUGAGCCCCUUGCUGUGAACAUAAUCUGUUAAUGCUUUGAUACCUGAUGGAAAUGUCGAAGCCUUAGCAACCAAGUUUCCCUGCCACAGGUCAAAUUUCGUGAAAAAAAAAGUCCAGGAAAGGAAAAGUGUAAACUCAUGAAUCAAGUCUGACUGACUGAGGAAACAGGUGGCUGACAAGGAACAUAAGUAUAGUACCUCAGAGUCUCUGUUUAGCUCACCCCAGCAGUCAUCUGGGAAGCAAGUAGACGGAGAAAAAUGAAAGGAUCAGAUGCUUGUAUAUGAUUCCAAUAUUGUAUAACCUGGAAGCAGCAUUACUGGUUCCGUUAAAAAAAAAACACUUGCCUAUGUUUAUAUAUUGAUAUCCCAAUGAUGAAAGUCCAGUUGAUAUCAUGGCAUCAGCUGUAACAAAUAUUAUUUAGUAAAUAUUUGAUUUACUUUUCUAUUUAUACUAUGGCAGGUAGUCUAGCUGGAGUUAGUAUGUUCUUACAUUAACCUGAAGUUCUCACCUGUUUCCUUGAUCAACUUUUCGUCGAUGUGGCAGUGGAAAUGGUUCCAGCUAUUCCAUCUGUUACUUUUUCACAGGAACAUGUCGUUUACUCAAGGAGGAGUUCUCCCGAGUCCAUUUUCCACAAGGUAUUUUUGGACCUCAUAUCUCAGAGUCAGAUUUACUACGCUUCUCCUGGAAAUUUGAUGGGCAGAAGCUGCAGUUGAAAGCAGCAAGAUGCACGUAGCAGCAAUGAUCACUCGACCUCCUGAAUUGGCCAUAAAGCCACUCGCUGAUCCGAACAUGAAUUUACUAAUUUGUGAUUGUUGUUCAACUCCAACUUGAUGCUGGGACUUAAGAAUCAGUGAGCAGAGGCUGCAUUUAUGGGGAGAUGAGAUGACCACCGAUCAAGCAGCUCAGCUGAAGCUGGUAACCAAUCAAAACCCAAUUUAAUACAAUUGCUUGGUUGUUCUUUUGCACCUAUCUCCAUGUUGUUGUCUUCAUUUCCUUGAAAAUGAGUGCUUCUUCUGUCUCUCUUCCUCUCUCUGACUCUUUCUCCCUCACAUGCCUGAUAAUCUUCACACGUAAAUCCCUGCAUGGAAGAUUUGAUUAGUGCCCUUCUCGUUUUUAUUUCUUUCUUGAUUAAUAAUUGCGAUUUGAAGACAAUUCUGUCCUGAUAUGGGAUCGAGAAAUUUUGGGUCACCUCGGUUGAAAGAGAAGCUUUUCAUACAUGAACUUAUCUGAUGAAUCGGCUGAGCUUUUGAUUCUAAGUUUUUCCCUGUUCAAACAUGACAUGACGUUUAGGCUCCAGACUUGCAUAGUAAACAUAUUUCUGCAUGGUCCUAGGGAACAGCUGUUGUUCAUCAUCAUCAUCGUCAUCAUCAUUGACUUUCCGUGUAUUUUUCUUGGUCCUAUUUUCGGAAGAUGUGUGAAAUUGUUCAUCCUUUAGACAAGAAACAAUAGGCUAAGGAAACAUUCCUUUUUUAACGAUUUAGAUUUCCGAUGAUCAAAGUUUUGCGAAAGUUCUUCUAUCCAUGAUAUAGACCGUUUGUGAACCCCUCAUAGACAGUCGGUUAACCUCUGGAUCUGUUCGAUCAUAGGCCCCACGUUAAUAUCAGCCCAUGAAGUGACCGUUAACUCAUUCCAUGUCAGUCGAGAUGUCCCGAGGAGUUUAUGACCAGUCCAUGAACCCAUCAGGGCUGUGAGUCAUGGGCCCCAGAUCGAUCGAGUGGCCCUCCUCAGGGCUGCAGGUCAUCAGCCCCACAUCGGUCUAGCAGUCCCGGGGGAAUCAUGGACGGUCACUGUAAAGUUUCCGUUAAUUGUGUACGGUCACUUUUGUAUGAUUCACGAAACAAGAUCGUUCAUCAAUCAUGAAUCCUGGAAUUCAACAGAGUACGUGCUUUUGAAUCUUCAGAGAUUGGACGGAUAAAGGAUGAUGAGCCACUGAUGUUUUCGUGCUUUCUUGUCAGUUAAAUACAAUUUACCGCUUUCUUAUCA